rnacentral:rRNA from 1 species
AUUGAACGCUAGCGGCAGGCCUUACACAUGCAAGUCGAACGAGUGGCGGACGGGUGAGUAAUAUAUGGGAACGUGCCCACGAGCGGGGGAUAACUACUAGAAAGAGUGGCUAAUACCACAUACCAUUGGAGAGGCCGAUAUCGGAUUAGCGAGGUGGGGGGGUAAAGGCUCACGUAGGCAACGAUCCCUAGCUGGUCUGAGAGGAUGACCAGCCACACUGGGACUGAGACACGUCCCAGACUCCUACGGGAGGCAGCAGUGGGGAAUAUUGGACAAUGGGGGAAACCCUGAUGCAGCCAUGCCGCGUGUAUGAAGAAGGCCUGCGGGUUGUAAAGUACUUUUAGCAGGGAGGCGGUACCUGCAGAAGAAGCACCGGCUAACUCCGUGCCAGCAGCCGCGGUAAUUC